rnacentral:rRNA from 1 species
AACGAACGCUGGCGGCAGGCCUAACACAUGCAAGUCGAGCGAUACCAGCAAUGGUGGAGCGGCAGACGGGUGAGUAACACGUGGGAACGUACCCUUCGGUUCGGAAUAACUCAGGGAAAC